rnacentral:rRNA from 1 species
AUUGAACGCUGGCGGCAUGCUUUACACAUGCAAGUCGAACGGUAACAGGCCGCAAGGUGCUGACGAGUGGCGAACGGGUGAGUAAUGCAUCGGAACGUGCCCAGUCGUGGGGGAUAACGCAGCGAAAGCUGCGCUAAUACCGCAUACGAUCUCUGGAUGAAAGCGGGGGACCGAAAGGCCUCGCGCGAUUGGAGCGGCCGAUGUCAGAUUAGGUAGUUGGUGGGGUAAAGGCCCACCAAGCCAACGAUCUGUAGCUGGUCUGAGAGGACGACCAGCCACACUGGGACGGAGACACGGCCCAGACUCCUACGGGAGGCAGCAGUGGGGAAUUUUGGACAAUGGGCGCAAGCCUGAUCCAGCAAUGCCGCGUGCAGGAAGAAGGCCUUCGGGUUGUAAACUGCUUUUGUACGGAACGAAACGGUCCUGGUUAAUACCUGGGGCACAUGACGGUACCGUAAGAAUAAGCACCGGCUAACUACGUGCCAGCCGCCGCAGUAACAC